UCUAAGAUGUGUAACAGGCCAGUGGUGACUUAAACUGCGGGGGAGCAAUUGAGGGACAUUAAGAAGGGCUUGAGGGACUUGAAGCCCUUUUGAGUUGUGAUGAGAAGAAGUCCAGACCUUGGGGCAGUGUGUGAAUCCCUCGCAGCUGGCCUGGGGAGGCUGCCAAUCCCUGGAGUCAGGACAAAAAUGGAUUCAUCAGUCCCUCGGGCCAAGGUUCUGUGGACAGAGUUGGGAGCUCGGCCAAGGAGAGCUGAAUUCACUUGAUCCCUUCAUGCCUGGGAUGAAUCUGGGCCACUGGGAGUUCACUUAGGGACCUCACUGUCUUAACUUGUUUGAGAAACCUUGGCUUGCCAUAGAAUAAAAUCCAACGGCAGCAUC